AGAACAUGCAGUCUAGGAACCGGCAUGCGCAUAACCUCAGGAUAUAAAUAAUGCUGAAGCAGAGUGAGAUAUUCCUGCACAUCCUCUGGUGACCCCAGAAUGAGGGGGACUCGCUGGUGAAUUGCCUCGGGCUUCACGUCCAGUACAGGCUGGGUCCCCGUGGUCGCCAAGCCUCCUGCCUGCUCAAUGAUGUAGGCCACGGGAUUGCAUUCAUACAGGAGCCGGAGCUGUGGAGGAACAGAGGCAGGACAAAUUCACCAAGAGCCUAGCAACAUGAAGAGAGAUGCCAGGAAGAAGAGAGAAGCCAGGAAACAAGCCAACCGCACAAUCCCCACAUCAGAGCAGGAGAAGAUGGGGGCCUGCUGGCAGAGCUGGGGCUUGGCUGUGGUCACUCUGAACCUGCUCUUUGGUGUUUUCAUGAGUGGUGGGAAGAAUAGGGACCAUAUGGAGCCCACACAGGAAGCUCUAGCAGUAACACAGCAAGCAGGAAGACAAUUCUAAGGAAGCAGCCCAUAGUCUUCUUUCUUUUCCUGUGCAUCUUCCACUGUCAGUGAGGCUCCUCAUUUAUGGUGAACCCAACUGUGUGUAUCUCCCAAGUUCUCACCCGCAGAUUAAUGUUUUCAGGAAGAUAGGCCAUCAACAGUGAGAGGAAGAAGUUACAUUGUCGUAUGAGGGAUGCAUUUUAACCAUUAAUUUGUGGUACAGGCUGGGCGCAGUGGCUUAUGCAUGUAAUCCCAGCACUUUGGGAGGCCGAGGUGGGUGGAUCACGAGGUCAGGAGAUCGAGACCAUCCUGGCUAACAUGGUGAAACCCCGUCUUUACUAAAUAUACAAAAAAUUGGCCGGGCGUGGUGGUGGGCACCUGUAGUCCCAGCUACUCGGGGGGCUGAGGCAGGAGAAUGGUGUGAACCCGGGAGGCAGAGCUUGCAGUGAGCCGAGAUCGCGCCACUGCACUCCAGCCUGGAUGACAGAGCAAGACUCCAUCUCAA
rnacentral:lncRNA from 10 species